ANAGCGAACUGAAUUAGAAGGCUUGCUUCUAUGACGUUAGCGGCGGACGGGUGAGUAACACGUGGGCAACCUGCCUGUAAGACUGGGAUAACUUCGGGAAACCGAAGCUAAUACCGGAUAGGAUCUUCUCCUUCAUGGGAGAUGAUUGAAAGAUGGUUUCGGCUAUCACUUACAGAUGGGCCCGCGGUGCAUUAGCUAGUUGGUGAGGUAACGGCUCACCAAGGCAACGAUGCAUAGCCGACCUGAGAGGGUGAUCGGCCACACUGGGACUGAGACACGGCCCAGACUCCUACGGGAGGCAGCAGUAGGGAAUCUUCCGCAAUGGACGAAAGUCUGACGGAGCAACGCCGCGUGAGUGAUGAAGGCUUUCGGGUCGUAAAACUCUGUUGUUAGGGAAGAACAAGUACGAGAGUAACUGCUCGUACCUUGACGGUACCUAACCAGAAAGCCACGGCUAACUACGUGCCAGCAGCCGCGGUAAUACGUAGGUGGCAAGCGUUAUCCGGAAUUAUUGGGCGUAAAGCGCGCGCAGGCGGUUUCUUAAGUCUGAUGUGAAAGCCCACGGCUCAACCGUGGAGGGUCAUUGGAAACUGGGGAACUUGAGUGCAGAAGAGAAAAGCGGAAUUCCACGUGUAGCGGUGAAAUGCGUAAAGAUGUGGAGGAACACCAGUGGCGAAGGCGGCUUUUGGUCUGUAACUGACGCUGAGGCGCGAAGCGUGGGGAGCAACAUGAUUAAAUACCUGGUAGUCCACGCCGUAAACGAUGAUGGUAGUGUANAGGGUUUCUCCUUUAUGGCGCUAGUAAUGCCUAUACUCCNUGCGGGG
rnacentral:rRNA from 1 species